rnacentral:rRNA from 1 species
CCUACGGGAGGCAGCAGUGGGGAAUAUUGCACAAUGGGGGAAACCCUGAUGCAGCGACGCCGCGUGAGUGAAGAAGUACUUCUUUAUGUAAAGCUCUAUCAGCAGGGAAGAAAAUGACGGUACCUGAGUAAGACGCCCCGGCUAACUACGUGCCAGCAGCCGCGGUAAUACGUAGGGGGCACGCGGUAUCCGGAUUUACUGGGUGUAAAGGGAGCGUAGACGGCAGUGCAAUUCUGGAGGGAAAGGCGGGGGCUCAACCCCAGGACAGCGCUGGAAACUGGACGUCUGGAGUGCAGGAGAGGUAAGUGGAAUGCCUAGUGUAGCGGUGAAAUGCGUAGAUAUUAGGAGGAACACCAGUGGCGAAGGCGGCUUACUGGACUGUAACUGACGUUGAGGCUCGAAAGCGUGGGGAGCAAACAGGAUUAGAUACCCGAGUAGUC